rnacentral:rRNA from 1 species
AUNACUGGCUCAGGAUGAACGCUAGCUACAGGCUUAACACAUGCAAGUCGAGGGGCAGCAUGGUCUUAGCUUGCUAAGGCUGAUGGCGACCGGCGCACGGGUGAGUAACACGUAUCCAACCUGCCGUCUACUCUUGGCCAGCCUUCUGAAAGGAAGAUUAAUCCAGGAUGGGAUCAUGAGUUCACAUGUCCGCAUGAUUAAAGGUAUUUUCCGGUAGACGAUGGGG